UCUACAUUGACGCUGAGUUCCCAACGAAACUUCAGCUAUGAAGAUCCUUUACCUUCUUUUUGCUGUCCUCUUCCUCAUGAUGCAGGCUGGUGUGGAAGGACGCUGUUCUCCUGGGAGUAGCCUACGAUGCAGGCUAAGAGGAGGAUGGUGCUACCCCUGGGCGUGCCCCAUUUUUCGACGUCGUAUUGGACGCUGUUGCUGGACGCACGUUUGCUGUAGAUGAAUAUAAACAGAGGGUCCAAGUGAGUGAUGGCAGCAGCAUCUGGUGCUAAAAACCUUGGAGAAAAUUAACAAAGGGAACUUUGUAUUCUCUAUUAAGACUUCAUGUUCUUUCUAUAAAAACAAUGAAUUGUGAUGGUGCAAAAAACCAUGCAAAUGUUUUCAUGAGCACACUUGGGGAGGGGCUGUUUUCAUAUUUCCUUCCCAUUAAAAUCCCUUUCUUCCUGCUCCUGUGCAUUUUGAUACAGGGAAAAGAGGAGGAUGGUCGCGCUCUGAAAUGUUUGCAAUGUGGAAUUUCUAAAAGGGCCAGUGCUCCGUGCGCAACACUUUGGUGUGGUUAUUACUUGGCUGUCCAAGGAACUGUAAACCUCUGUGAGGAGAUGGGUGUGUCUGUCUCCAUCUCCACCACUUCCCACAUCAUUCUCACAACAUAUAGCCGCUCCCUUGGCACAUUAGUCCUCCUGGCCCUUCCUAUUCCAUCCACCUACUCGAAGAUCCAUGUACCUGCCCAUUUGCCAUAAGAUGCUAGGCCGGCAUAGCACAACCUUACUUGCUACCAUAGCCCAAGCAUCACACUACGCUGGGCCCCUCGUUCCCACUAUCCACCUUCUGCUGUGACUCCUGCCUGAGUCAGAUUUCCAGAGUCAUGACCACACAAUGCACCCCUGGUCGACAGCAGAAUCCUGCCCCCCUUCCACAGCUUAGCCCCCACCCGUUGGGUCAUCUGUAUUGUAACUCUCCCUUGUCUGGAUUUCGGAUUUUAUAUUUGCUUUAUCUUCAGUUCCCCCCUUCACAGCACUCCAAUAGCCCAACUCACAUGCAGACACAGGGGAAGGGAUCAGACAGCCUAGCCGAGGAAGGGCCCGGCAGAUCCAACAACACACAGCAGGCCGUCUAAAAGACCUAGACACAUGCAGAACAGUUGGUUUCUUCUGUGUGUCCACAGGAAGAGAAAAUUUUCCCAUCGCUUAAAACAAAAAAAAACAAUCCUCCCGACUGUUCUCUUUUACCCUUUGGUGACCAGACAGAAAGAGUGAAAAAUACUGUGACUGUCCCUACAAAAUAAGGAAAUCUAGUCAGCCUGAUUACUCCUCCUAUUCUCCCUCCUAUCUUGCCUUCUCCUCCUCCCCUGCCCUGUGUAUGAAUCAACAGGUUGUCUUCCCCCCCCAAUUCAUCUUCCCACUUAUCCCUCUUCUCAUGUGUCCCUGUGAUGGGUUCCGGCCCCGGCUGCACAUGCCACUAUUAAAUGAUUGCAUAGAUCAGAGACCAGCUAGAAUGUUGGCUUCUUAACAUGGCUUGUAUUUUUAAAAGCUUAAUGAGUGUCACUUCUCCACUCUCUGACCAUCCCAUCUUCAGUGAUUAGCUCAGCACAAAUGCAACCAUAACAUUUUCUAUGCAGCGUUUAUACUACAGGACGGCUGACAAACUGUUUUAUAUAAUACUCCCACUUCUUGCAUCCUAGUUUAUUUCUGGAUAUGUCUCCUCUUUAAGGGGGAAACUGAGCCUUGUUCUGGAAACAACAGACAAAGGUUUGUUUGGCGUACCGUGGUGAUCAGUUUGCGGUAAAAAAAGAUACACUGUUUAGUAUUUUUCUCCAGGAACUGAAACAAAAGACAAAAUAAUCACCGAGGAAGUUUGUGGACAAAAUAAACAAUGAAGGCCUGGUUAAUGAUGUAGUGGACAAGACAAUGAUGUAAAAUUAUCUGGACUACUUGAUAAAGUGGACUCAAGGAAAAAUAUGUUUUAGUAUUUAAAAUAGCUUAUUAGAAAUGUAAACAUCUAGGAACAAAGAGGGGCCUUGA